GACCUGAUCCAGCCAUGCCGCGUGUGUGAAGAAGGCCUUUUGGUUGUAAAGCACUUUAAGCAGUGAAGAAGACUCUUCGGUUAAUACCCGGGGACGAUGACAUUAGCUGCAGAAUAAGCACCGGCUAACUCUGUGCCAGCAGCCGCGGUAAUACAGAGGGUGCAAGCGUUAAUCGGAAUUACUGGGCGUAAAGCGAGCGUAGGUGGCUUGAUAAGUCAGAUGUGAAAUCCCCGGGCUUAACCUGGGAACUGCAUCUGAAACUGUUAGGCUAGAGUAGGUGAGAGGGAAGUAGAAUUUCAGGUGUAGCGGUGAAAUGCGUAGAGAUCUGAAGGAAUACCGAUGGCGAAGGCAGCUUCCUGGCAUCAUACUGACACUGAGGCUCGAAAGCGUGGGUAGCAAACAGGAUUAGAUACCCUGGUAGUCCACGCCGUAAACGAUGUCUACUAGUCGUUGGGUCCCUUGAGGACUUAGUGACGCAGCUAACGCAAUAAGUAGACCGCCUGGGGAGUACGGCCGCAAGGUUAAAACUCA
rnacentral:rRNA from 1 species